CGAGAUUGGCAACGUUAGCCGCCGCCAAACAACUACGACGUCCAACUCCAGCGCGCGCCGCUCCUACUCCAUCGGAUCGUUCGACCACCUCGUCGACGACGACUCCGAGGUCCGAUUGUCCAAUGCCAGAAACGGCUCGUCUGAUAGGAAAGAAGAGGUGAUUGUUGUUCUCGGCGAGCUCCUGCCGCCGCUGCCGUCGGAGGCCAAUCUAGCCCACAAGUUUUUCUUCCCCCCAAUCUCAAUCCAGCCCGAGUGCAGCCUCCGACGGGGGUGCAAAUUAUAUUAUUAAAAAAUUAAAAUGGGGUGUGGUUUGCAAUUUUUAUCGAGCCAAACCGGAGAGAGAAACAAAUAUCAGUCUCCCUUCUCCAAAAUCUUUUCGAUUCAUCACUCUCUCUCUCUCUCGGUAUUGUAUUCGAUCCGAAAGUAAAACCUUCACAAUCUCCCCUCUUAGAUCUAUCCACCAAGCUAAGACCUACCUCUUGCCAAAAGAAAGCUAAGAUUUACCCACCGAGGUAUCUCAAUCCAUUUCUGCAAAUCUGAUGGUACAUCAGUCACCGACGCAUCUGAGUUAUAUGGAACCGUCUCCUCCAAUCCAUCUUCAGAAACUGACAACAUUGAGAAGAUUUCAUAUGGAGCAGAAGAGAAGCCAAUAUUGAAUUAGAGGAAGACUUCUAUCACGAAAGAUAUUCUUGGAGUACUGGACCAAGGUUGAAAAAGAAUCUUGAACAAGAAGCCUAAACGGCAAGAAACAAAGAUUGAGCAGAAUUCCCCCAACAAGAUACAGAAAUAUUGCAUCACUACAUCACUAGUGGAGAAAAUUGAAGGUUCAGAAGGAGCAAGCAAGGAGGGAAAAUGAUAAUCAUGGAGAAGCAUUUGUUGAAUUUGUAGUAGAAGUUGUAGCCAAAGCUGUAAAAGAAGCAGAAUAGAAGUACUGGCGACAUCUCUACAUUACACGGGGCCCACAGGUCUGAAUUU